GAUGAACGCUGGCUACAGGCUUAACACAUGCAAGUCGAGGGGAAACGACGGGGAAGCUUGCUUCCCCGGGCGUCGACCGGCGCACGGGUGAGUAACGCGUAUCCAACCUGCCUCUGACUGAGGGAUAACCCGUCGAAAGUCGGCCUAAUACCUCAUGGCAUCGUCUGCGGGCAUCCAACGACGAUUAAAGAUUUCAUCGGUCAGGGAUGGGGAUGCGUCUGAUUAGCUUGUUGGCGGGGUAACGGCCCACCAAGGCUACGAUCAGUAGGGGUUCUGAGAGGAAGGUCCCCCACAUUGGAACUGAGACACGGUCCAAACUCCUACGGGAGGCAGCAGUGAGGAAUAUUGGUCAAUGGGCGGGAGCCUGAACCAGCCAAGUAGCGUGCAGGAUGACGGCCCUAUGGGUUGUAAACUGCUUUUAUGCGGGGAUAAAGUGAGGGACGUGUCCUUCAUUGCAGGUACCGCAGGAAUAAGGACCGGCUAAUUCCGU
rnacentral:rRNA from 1 species